GGGUGUCUCGUCUGCUUUAUUAUCUAAAAGCUUUCUAGCCUUCCUUUUUUGUUGUCUUCUACCAGAUCUUCUCCCUCUAAUCCUCUCUUGCGACUUUUUAUAGGUGUAAUAUUGAGGUGGUGAGUCUGUCUUUCUCUGUUGGAGGGGAUCUCUAAAAAAGAUGUUUCAUCGAAUUGAUCACAGAAAGAUAGGACAUGAUAUUUGUUGUUCUUAGUUAGAUCUUGUGGUGAUGGGGGUUUAUUUUCAUCUCGUCUUUUGUAGGUUUUCUUUGGAUUUUCCCAGGAGUACUUUCUAUUUCUCUGUUUAGGAGAAUCGGGCAUAUAUGUGUAUUUGUGAGUUUUGGGUCUUACAACAAGAGGUGAUUCCUGUGUGAAUUUCUUAUGUUUGAUGUGUUCUUCAAUUUUUUCUGAAUAAUGUGUAUUUAGGGGUUUAUUUUGGGGAUAGGUGUCUCGAUAGUGUCUAGUGUUGAAUUUAUCAUUUCUUGUGUCAUGUCUUUCAUUUCUUAUAUUGUACCUAGGAGAUUUGUCUGGUAAUCUCUGAUGGUUAUUGUGAGAAUAUUUUCUAUAAUAGAAUUCUUUGCUUUGUAACCUUUUAGGUCUAACUUGAUAACCUCCUUGUGUGUUUACAUUGUGAUGUGUUGUACCAUUUCUCCAUUGGUUUUGAGUGUUAGAUUUCUUAAUAUUAUACGUGCGAACUUGUUUUUGUGCGUAAUCAUAUUUGUCUCUAUUGUACUUUUGAAUCUUUAUUCUUUUUGUGUCGGUUUCAAUUUUUUCUACAGUUUUUUAAAUUUUUUGUGAUACAUUAUAGUACUCCUCAGUGUCGCCAAAAGGGAUUAAUUGUUCUCGUAAUGUGUUUAUUUUUUUGUCUAUGACAGAUAGCUUUUCAUUUUUAACUUUAAUGAGACUUUUCAUUAAUCCAAAGGUGCAAUACUCUAAAUGGUUGUACCAUUCUUCCAUGAAUAUUUUAUUAUCAGUGUCUGAAGUAGGCAUCUUAAAUAAUCUGAGACCUCUUGGAGUUAUUUUUUCUUCUACAUAUUUAGUCAGAGUUGCAAUUUCCCACCUUAAUUUCAUUUCUUUUGUUAGGGAGAAUUCUAAUUCUUUUAGUAAUUCAGAUAAAUUAUCAAAGACAAUUAGUGGUUCGUUUGUAUUCAUUUCAUCUAAUUCAUUAAAGACAUCAUUAAUGUUAAUGGUAUAGUUAUCCCUAUAUUCGAAUAGAGACAUAUUUGAACAACCUAUAGGGGCUGCCUAUCUGGGGAAUGUGUGGUGAUAAAAAAGAAAGAGAGUGAUAGGAACAGCUCACAUUUAUUGGGAUUAAAAUAGUUAAAAAUCACUGGAGAGGAGGAGAUGUU